rnacentral:sRNA from 1 species
UUUGUGUCGGAUGUUGUGUUUAACACAGU